UGGGGAAUAUUGCACAAUGGGCGAAAGCCUGAUGCAGCAACGCCGCGUGAGUGAUGAAGGCCUUCGGGUUGUAAAGUUCUGUCUUCUGGGACGAUAAUGACGGUACCAGAGGAGGAAGCCACGGCUAACUACGUGCCAGCAGCCGCGGUAAUACGUAGGUGGCAAGCGUUGUCCGGAUUUACUGGGCGUAAAGGAUGCGUAGGCGGAUACUUAAGUCAGAUGUGAAAAUCCCGGGCUUAACUUGGGAACUGCAUUUGAAACUGGGUAUCUAGAGUGCGGGAGAGGAAAGUGGAAUUCCUAGUGUAGCGGUGAAAUGCGUAGAGAUUAGGAAGAACACCAGUGGCGAAGACGACUUUCUGGACCGUAACUGACGCUGAGGCAUGAAAGCGUGGGGAGCAAACA
rnacentral:rRNA from 1 species